UUCCACACGGAGACGCGGCGCCGGGUCGCCGCCGGCAGAUUCGACACGGAAACCCGGAAGGACCCGGGAUCCUUCAGCCCCGGGGAGGCUGGGUCCCCUCGGGGCGCCCGGGAGAGCUGUGGGGACUCAGGUAGCCCCCCUGCGAACAUAUUUGCACAGUGAUGCGUCAGGCCACCCCAAUAGGGUGGACAUCCCAGGACGCAGCUCCAUCCGAGACGUGCAGAAGCGUCUGAUCUCUCGCCCCCUGCGCUUUACAGGGUCAUCAAACAUCAAAUCAUAUAGGGACUUAGAUUCAGGGCUGCUCAAGCUCAGCCGUUCCUCAGAGGAGGAAACAGGCUAGAGAGAGAGAUCCUUUGCGGAAUCCUUUCUGAUGACUGAGUGGCGUUUUUCCUGGACCAGCUCUUGGCUGAAGCCUCACGUGGGAGAGAAGAAAUGUUGAAGAGGCAUCAUGCUUGAGUUUAUCCUUCCAAGAGAAUGAAUGUCUGACCACUUCAUUCACUCAACGUGAAGAUCAAAGGAGCCAAAUGAUAGCACAGCCAAGUGUGAUCACUGCUAACCCUACACUCUUUACCAUGGGAAAACCCAGCCACCCUGUCCACCAGGGAUUUCAAAUUAAAAUAUGAUACUCUGGUUUCUCUUCAGAUCGCAUAAAUCUUUCGCCUUUUCAAAUUAAAAUA